rnacentral:lncRNA from 1 species
GUUUGGCGUUGCAGCUGUGUGGGCGCUGGUGCGUGCGAGUAGCGCUCGAAGAAACCCAAAGGCGUCGUGGGGCUGCCGUGUGCCCCAGAGAGCACUGCAGGCCGGGUAGGGGCUAAGGCUCCCCGCAGUCUUCUGUGUGUCGUCCAGUACGCAGUUGAAAUCGUUCUCCAACCUGGCCAGUCCUCCGAGGCCCUUCUCAGGCGACCAGACUCUGUUAACAGAGUCCAUUGCUAAAACUCCUCGUUAGUAUUUACCACUCCUCCAGUCUGUGUUUUGAAGCAGUGGUUUUCAACCACUGCCCGUUUUCAGAAGAAAUCAUCUCAAGCGUCCGUGUGCUGCUAGAAGCCGGGCCGGGAGGUCUUGGUGCCGGACUCCACCCUGCAGCCCUUCCCUUUCGCCACCGCCCUGUGCUUAGAGAAACCUUAGAGUGGAGCAAUGAGUCGCCCUUGACUGAGUAACUCUUCGGGGUCAACUUCUCCUUCCACGCCAAGGAAAGGAUUCCAGGGCGAUGUUUCUGGAAAUAGAGAUCUGACCAAGCCACUGCUCUGGUGAAAAUUCAGUGGGUCCCUAGCACCUAGUGCAGCGGCUCCUAGCCUGAGUAUUGCCGUCUUUCGGUGGGGAGGGGUUGGGUUUUUUUGUAGCAUCUGUUGAUCUGAUCUCCAACAUCCUCCACGUCAAUUCCCACUCCACCCACAUCCCUUAUCCUAUACGUAAGCUUUCCAGCCACGGUGCUGGCUUGGGUGGGGGUGCGUGCGGUGCUGACACCAAAAUGGAGGUCCCGUGUUUCUGAGAGUCUCUUUCAGAGCAAUGCAAACCUGAAACUACUCCUGCCAAGAAACGAUUGCAGCUCUUCCCGGAAAAGUUAAAGCCUUUGAGAAACAAAGCUGAGGUUGAAAGUAUUAGUCCAUUUUAUAGAUGAAGAAAUGGAGGCCCAGAGAGAUCACGUGACUUAGCCAAGUCCACCAACUAAUAUUGGGAAGCUCAGCAGGGUCCUGGGGGCCCACAGGAAUGUGAAUAAACACGCUUGGAAAGUCUGCAGAAUUUCCAGUCCUAGCCUCCUGCUGGUGUGAACCUGGGCUCCUGUGCCUGGGACCCUGGGAGGGCCUAGGGGAUGCCAAAUUCCAGGGUCCAGAAAGAGCUUGGGAUAAAAUGAACAUCCAAGGGGAGGGCUUUGACCUGGGCUGAGUCUGCCUGUGCCGAGUCUGCCUGUGCCAUCCAACUGGAGUCUCAAGUCCUGAGGCAGGACGUCCAGAUGCCCCAGUGCAGGGUCCUCCUGAUCAACACCUGCUCCCCUGUACUCAUUAGCAACCUCACCCACCCUACUCUCAAAGCACACUUGGCUCUCAUAUCCAGGAGCUCUGCAUCUGUAGAUUCAGCAACAGCAGAUGGAAAAUAUUCAGAAAAUAAAUUGGACAGUUAUAUUUCUAUUGA